rnacentral:rRNA from 1 species
AGCGAACGCUGGCGGCGCGCUUAACACAUGCAAGUCGAACGUGAACGGAGCAAUCCUAGUAAAGUGGCGUACGGGUGAGUAACACGUAGGUAAUCUACCCUAGAGUCUGGAAUAACCGGCCGAAAGGCUGGCUAAUACUGGAUAGAGCGACGGAAUCCGUAAUUGGGUUUUUCGGGAAAGGGAGGCCGUAAGGUCCCUCGCUCUAGGAUGAGCCUGCGUCCCAUUAGCUAGUGGGAGAGGUAACGGCUCACCAAGGCGAUGAUGGGUAGCUGGUCUGAGAGGAUGAUCAGCCACACUGGAACUGAAACACGGUCCAGACUCCUACGGGAGGCAGCAGUGGGGAAUCUUGCGCAAUGGACGAAAGUCUGACGCAGCGACGCCGCGUGAGUGAAGAAGGCCUUAGGGUUGUAAAGCUCUGUCGUUUGGGACGAACAUUAUUCGGGUUAACAGCCCGAGUAACUGACGGUACCAGAAAAGGAAGCACCGGCUAACUCUGUGCCAGCCGCCGCCGUAA